rnacentral:sRNA from 1 species
UUUUAGCGUGAGGGACAGGAGCGGCAUCCUUUUGUGGCGCGAUAGCAGAACAAAAGAUACAGCGUAUAGCCCGACCCGUA